UAAUCUGGAGGUUGAUCUACCACCGAUUCGUGUCAAAAGGUCUGAGAAACCAAGGAUCAAGAAGAAAGUAAAAGUUAAUAAACCAUCACAUGAUAAGCACGGGCAACGUUUAAAGUUCUGUCCCCACUGUCCUUACUCGUCAUAUAAUAACCUAAACAGACAUUUGUCUACUCAUUCUGGAAUUAAACCAUUCCAAUGUUCCAAGUGCCCCAAAGCAUUCUUCGGCAGCCAUGAGUUACAACGGCAUGCAAAAUCAUGUGGCAAAGUAACACGUCGUAAAAUUGGAUUUCGGAAAUUGUUGGACAAAAGGCAGAAUAUACGCUCUACAGAGAUUGUACCCCCAAAACCUGCAGAGAUAAUAUGCAAUUUCAACAUUUCUUUGCCAGACUCAAGUGACGAUUCUGAAGAGGAAGAACUGACUGAUGUAAGGAACCUCCAACAAAAAGUUCGUGAGCAGAAGGAGAUAAUCAAGGAUCUUCGCGCAGAGAUUAAUAAUCUUAAAAGUAGUCGCCCAUAGGCUCGAAAGUGGAUAAAAUGCUUUCCACAAUCUCAAAUUUAUGAUUUUGUCGUUUUUUUUGCUAGUUAUAUGUGAUAUGCUACUUAGUUUCAAUUUGUCUGGUGAGUUAGUGAGAUGUUGAUAAUAAAUUAUUGUGUGUAAUUGAUACAUACCUUUUCAAU